GUUCACUUCAGCAGUUCAUCUACCAAAAUCAGAAUGACACAGAAAAGAUUAGCAUAGCCGCUGUGCAAGGAAGUCAUGCAAAUUGGUAUGCUGUUCGGUAUUUGG
ensembl:snRNA U6 U6 spliceosomal RNA